AUUAAAACAAAACAAAACAAAACCGUACACACAACAGGAAGGCUGAGGGGACCACCGUCCCUGUACAUGACCCCUGAAUGCUCUUUCCUGUCAGGCUGUGAUGUCCCCUUCCUACAGCUCAUCCCUUUUUCUUCAUCUUAAUCACUUACUCAUUCCUUGUUUUCUCUUUCCCACUCCCAUGCAAAUUCUAAGGACAGGGACCCAGUUCUAGGACCUUAUCCAGCACACACAAGUCCGUGGGAAAAUAUCUGACAACGUAAGAAGGACAGAAAAUGAAGACGCGGCCGUUGAGACUACAGAAGUACAGCCGCCUGCACCACCACCCCACUCCGAAACCCCAAAAAGAGAAAGCCAUCACCCUGGAAGUACCCCCACAGAAAGCUCCCAACUUACCAGAAAA